rnacentral:rRNA from 1 species
GACGAACCAUACGAACGUUAUUCGGAAUUACUGGGCUUAAAGGGUGCGUAGGCGGCGCGGCAAGUUGGGUGUGAAAUCCCUCGGCUCAACCGAGGAACUGCGCCCAAUACUGCCGUGCUCGAGGGAGACAGAGGUGAGCGGAACUUAGGGUGGAGCGGUGAAAUGCGUUGAUAUCCUAAGGAACACCCGUGGCGAAAGCGGCUCACUGGGUCUCUUCUGACGCUGAGGCACGAAAGCUAGGGUAGCGAACGGG